CGAAAUCGGUAGACGCUACGGACUUUAAAAAGAAAAUUCGUUGGCUUUAAAGACCGUGAGGGUUCAAGUCCCUC
rnacentral:tRNA from 1 species